rnacentral:rRNA from 1 species
UACGAAGGGGGCUAGCGUUGCUCGGAAUUACUGGGCGUAAAGGGCGCGUAGGCGGACAGUUUAGUCAGAGGUGAAAGCCCAGGGCUCAACCUUGGAAUUGCCUUUGAUACUGGCUGUCUUGAGUUCGGGAGAGGUGAGUGGAAUGCCGAGUGUAGAGGUGAAAUUCGUAGAUAUUCGGCGGAACACCAGUGGCGAAGGCGACUCACUGGCCCGAUACUGACGCUGAGGCGCGAAAGCGUGGGGAGCGAACGGG